UGGGGGCUCUGGGCAGGAUAUCAUCGUAUACUGUAAGUUUGCUAUGAGACACUACAGUAUAGAUGAUGUACUAUCCUGAGCUUCACCCCU
ensembl:miRNA